CUCUUUCUGGUUGUGCCGGGUGGAGAGGAACCAGGCUCUGAGGGGUGGACCAGUCCUCUUUCUGGUUGUGCCGGGUGGAGAGGAACCAGGCUCUGAGGGGUGGACCAGUCCUCUUUCUGGUUGUGCCGGGUGGAGAGGAACCAGGCUCAGAGGGGUGGACCAGUCCUCAGAGAUUGGUGAUUAUAAGGAGUAUACGGCCAUUAAGGCCAGAUGGUUCUUCAAGAUGUUCAGACGAUCAUAGAUGACCAGCAGGGUGAGAUAAUAAUCACAGUGGUUAUAGAUCAGGGCUCUCCAAUAGGUGGAUGGACAUCUACCAGCAGCUCACAGCCCACCUAUGAGUAGCUCACCAUGUAGUUGGGCUCCUGAGUGGCGCAGCGAUCUAAGGCACAGAAUCUCAGUGCAAGAGGUGUUCACUACAGACCCUGGUUCGAUUCUAGGCUGUAUCACAACUGGCCAUGAUUGGGGAGUCCCAAAUUUGGUCACAUACGCAUGGUUAGCAGAUGUUAUUGCAGGUGUAGUGAAAUGCUUGUGCUUCUAGUUCCAACAGUGCAGUAAUAUCUUACAAUUUCACAACAUACCCAAUACACACACAUCUAAGUAAAGGACUGGAAUUAAGAAUAUAUAAAUAUAUGGUUGAGAAAUGUCAGAGCGGCAGAGACAGAAAGACUUUCCCCAUUUACCUGGUCAAUUAAAUGUUAACUGUAAAGUAGGCUUACCUGACAGAAAAGUCAUGAUUAUUUACAUCAAUUACGUGGUCAAUUAAAUGUUAACUGUAAAGUAGGCUUACCUGACAGAACGGUCAUGAUUAUUUACAUCAAUUACCUGGUCAAUUAAAUGUUAACUGUAAAGUAGGCUUACCUGACAGAACGGUCAUGAUUAUUUACAUCAAUUACGUGGUCAAUUAAAUGUUAACUGUGAAGUAGGCUUACCUGACACAACGGUCAUGAUUAUUUACAUCAAUUACCUGGUCAAUUAAAUGUUAACUGUAAAGUAGGCUUACCUGACACAACGGUCAUGAUUAUUUACAUCAAUUGGAUGGCCAUUGUUUUACAAACUCUACCAUGACGCGAGCUGCAGUCGUCCUGACAGAAGCAUCACUACAGCGACACAUCUCUCUCUGGCUCGAUGCGCAAUUAAAAGGGAAUUACACUCAAAAAAUCUAAAAUCGUUAUGUUUAGGUCUGAAGGUCUUCUGAUGUGAUUUAAGCAUAGACGUGGACUCAGAACAUUCAGUUGCUGUUUCUCUAUGAACAGUUGUACUAUUGAGAGUUAAAAACGGAGUCAAAACCA
ensembl:lncRNA